rnacentral:rRNA from 1 species
GACGAACGCUGGCGGCGUGCCUAAUACAUGCAAGUCGAGCGAAGUUUUUCUGGUGCUUGCACUAGAAAAACUUAGCGGCGAACGGGUGAGUAACACGUAAAGAACCUGCCUCAUAGACUGGGACAACUAUUGGAAACGAUAGCUAAUACCGGAUAACAGUAUUUCUCGCAUGAGAGAUAUUUAAAAGUUGGUUAUGCUAACACUAUGAGAUGGCUUUGCGGUGCAUUAGCUAGUUGGUGGGGUAAAGGCCCACCAAGGCGACGAUGCAUAGCCGACCUGAGAGGUUGAUCGGCCACACUGGGACUGAGACGCGGCCCAGACUCCUACGGGAGGCAGCAGUAGGGAAUCUUCCGCAAUGGGCGAAAGCCUGACGGAGCAACGCCGCGUGAGUGAAGAAGGAUUUCGGUUCGUAAAGCUCUGUUGUUAGGGAAGAAUGGAUAUGUAGUAACUAUACAUGUAAGAGACGGUACCUAACCAGAAAGCCACGGCUAACUACGUG